ensembl:snRNA LOC120101201 U6 spliceosomal RNA
AUGCUCUCCUGAAGCACGUGUAAUAAACCUGGCUUGACACAGAGAAGAUUAGCGUAGUUCCCACACAAGGAUGGCAUGCCAAUUGAACAAGCAGCCCAUGUUUUA